rnacentral:tRNA from 1 species
UGACGCGUAGCUCAGUUGGUAGAGCACCUGACUGUUAAUCAGGAAGUCAUCAGUUCGAAUCUGAUCGUGUCAG